AGCAGCCACAGGCAAGUGAGAGGCUGUGCAGAGGGCGCGUGAGGCACCGCGGGGGCGACCUAGGGCUGAGGAGCUCACUGCAGGGAUGCACCCCAGAGACUUACAACUAGUGACCCACAAUGGUCCUGUGUGGGGUGUUCGGGGACGGCUGUCCCCGCCAGCUUAGUCCCCGGCAGCCUUCCUCUGGGCACCCAGCCCGACCUGGCUGCAGCAGGAGCUGCCUUGGUGAGAUCUGCGCUUACCCAACACCAGGGCUGUCUCUUCUGCAGCUGAUUUGAGUAGGGGCUGCAGGAGGAGGAAUGGCUCUUUAACAAACGCCAAAGACCCCCUGACAAGCACUCUAACUCCACCGAUCGUCUUUCUCUUCUAGGCACAAAGGCUGAGGCACAGAGAAGCUACCACAUCAGUCUGAGCAUCGACACUGCUGUGAAGGCUGUCUUAGGCAUCUUCAGCCUGGUGACUAGGAAGUUCCCUCGGUUUUCAGCACAUGGAGGAAGCAGCAGGGAGAACCUGGCCUUGCAGAAUGUGCAGGCUCGGAUUAGGAUGGUCCUCGCCUACCUGUUUGCUCAGCUGAGCCUCUGGUCCUGGGGUGCUCAAGGAGGCCUUCUUGUGCUUGGAUCUGCUAAUGUGGAUGAGAGUUUCCAGGAAAAAUCCAACCUCAGACCCAGCAGUGGAGACCAGCAGAUCCCUUUCCAGGCUCCAUCCCCUGCUUU